rnacentral:rRNA from 1 species
UACGUAGGGGGCAAGCGUUGUCCGGAUUUAUUGGGCGUAAAGAGCGUGUAGGCGGCCAGGUAGGUCGGUUGUGAAAACUCGAGGCUCAACCUCGAGACGUCGAUGGAAACCAUCUGGCUAGAGUCCGGAAGAGGAGAGUGGAAUUCCUGGUGUAGCGGUGAAAUGCGCAGAUAUCAGGAAGAACACCCGUGGCGAAGGCGGCUCUCUGGUACGUGACUGACGCUGAGACGCGAAAGCGUGGGGAGCGAACAGG